rnacentral:rRNA from 1 species
UACGUAGGGGCGAGCGUUGUCCGGAAUUAUUGGGCGUAAAGAGCUCGUAGGCGGUUCGGCAAGUCACGUGUGAAAUCUCCACGCUCAACGUGGAGGCGCCACGUGAGACUGCUGUGACUCGAGUCCGGUAGGGGAGCGUGGAAUUCCCGGUGUAGCGGUGAAAUGCGCAGAGAUCGGGAGGACACCCGUAGCGAAGGCGGCGCUCUGGGCCGGUCACUGACGCUGAGGAGCGAAAGCGUGGGAGC